GACGAACGCUGGCGGCGUGCUUAACACAUGCAAGUCGAACGGAAAGGCCUCUUUCGGGGGGUACUCUAGUGGCGAACGGGUGAGUAACACGUGAGUAACCUGCCCUUGACUUUGGGAUAACUUCAGGAAACUGUGGCUAAUACCGGAUAGGAGCUCCUGCUGCAUGGUGGGGGUUGGAAAGUUUCGGCGGUUGGGGGUGUGGUCGCGGCUUAUCACCUUGUGUGUGGGGGAGUGUCGUACCAAGGCUUUGACGGGUAUCCGGCCCGUGAGGGUGACCGGCGACAUUGGGGCUGAGAGACGGCCCAGAGACCUACGGGAGGCAGAGGUGGGGAAUAUUGCACAAUGGGGGGAAGCCUGAUGCAGAGACGCCGUGUGCGGGAUGACGGGCUUCGGGUUGUAAAACGCUUUCGCUCAUGACGAAGCUUUGUGUGAAGGUAGUGGGUAAAGAAGCAACGGCUAACUACGUG
rnacentral:rRNA from 1 species